UAAUACUCCAUAGAUUAGAGACACUGGAAUGUUCUUUAGUCGAAAGUUCUGGCGCCUUAGGAUGGAUCUGCGGUCGAUUAGGUUGUUGUUGGGGUAACGGCCCAACAAGCCUGUAAUCGAUACGGGUUGUGGGAGCAAGAGCCCGGAGAUGGAAUCUGAGACACGAUUCCAGGCCCUACGGGGCGCAGCAGGCGCGAAAACUUUACAAUGCAGGAAACUGUGAUAAGGGAACUCCGAGUGCCCGUAUACGCGGGCUGUCCAGGUGUUUAAAAAUCAUCUGAAGAAAGGGCCGGGCAAGACCGGUGCCAGCCGCCGCGGUAAUACCGGCGGCUCGAGUGGUGGCCACUAUUAUUGGGCUUAAAGCGUCCGUAGCUGGACCGAUAAGUCUCUUGGGAAAUCCGCCGGCUCAACCGGCGGGCGUCUAAGGGAUACUGUUAGUCUAGGGACCGGGAGAGGUGAGAGGUACUCCGGGGGUAGGAGUGAAAUCCUGUAAUCCCCGGGGGACCACCGAUGGCGAAGGCAUCUCACCAAAACGGCUCCGACAGUGAUGGACGAAAGCUGGGGGAGCGAAACGGAUUAAAUACCCGGGUUAGUCCAUCCGUAGACUAUGCGCGUUAUGUGU
rnacentral:rRNA from 1 species